AAGACUAUACUUCACAGGAUCAUUUCUGUAGUCAGUCUUCAUUUAUUUUCAUUGCAAAAUGAAAAAUUUCGUAACCGCGAUGACGAGGUAUAUCGUUUUAUCUGUAGCGUGAGGUUUUGAACUUUGUCUUUUAUUUUCGACUUUCGGGUUGAAAUUGGGAUAAUGUUUCUUCGAUGAUCGCUUAGCUUUAACGGAUAAAACGACUUCUGAGUGGC
rfam:Lucilia cuprina strain LS Scaffold53, whole genome shotgun sequence.